rnacentral:rRNA from 1 species
GACGAACGCUGGCGGCGUGCCUAAUACAUGCAAGUCGAACGCUGAAGGCGGAGCUUGCUCUUCUGGAUGAGUUGCGAACGGGUGAGUAACGCGUAGGUAACCUGCCUGGUAGCGGGGGAGAACUAUUGGAAACGAUAGCUAAUACCGCAUAAUAACAGUUGUUGCAUGAUAACUGUUUGAAAGGUGCAAUUGCAUCACUACUAGAUGGACCUGCGUUGUAUUAGCUAGUUGGGGGGGUAACGGCUCACCAAGGCGACGAUACAUAACCGACCUGAGAGGGUGCGCGGCCUAACUGGGACUGGGAGACGACCAAGACUCCUACGGGAGGCAGCAGUAGGGAAUCUUCGGCAAUGGACGAAAGUCUGACCGAGCAACGCCGCGUGAGUGCAGAAGGUUGUCGGAUCGUAAAGCUCUGGAGUAAGAGAGGAUCGUGUGUGAGAGUUGAAAGUGCACACUGUGACGGUAUCUGACCAGAAAGGGACGGCUAACUACGUG